rnacentral:rRNA from 1 species
AUUCCAGCUCCAAUAGCGUAUACUAAAGUUGUUGCAGUUAAAAAGCUCGUAGUUGAAUUUCUGGUCUCGGACAGCGGUCUGCCUCAAACGAGGUACGCACCACCUGUUCAGGUCCAUCCUCGGAGAAAACAUGCCUGUGAUUCAGUUCAUGGGUAUGGGAUCUUCGUCAUUUACUGUGAGCAAAAUAUAGUGUUCAAAGCAGGCUUAUGCCGUUGAAUACAUUAGCAUGGAAUAAUAAAAUAAGACCUUGGUCUAUUUUGUUGGUUUGUACUCCAAGGUAAUGAUUAAUAGGGAUAGUUGGGGGUGUUCGUAUUCAAUUGUCAGAGGUGAAAUUCUUGGAUUUAUGGAAGACGAACUACUGCGAAAGCAUUUACCAAGGAUGUUUUCAUUA